UAACGGCGAGGAAGCUUCCCUCACCCGCAUUCUCCUCCCUCUCCCGGGUUUUGGUUCCCCUAAAGCAACCUGGUGUUCAGACAAAGUUUAACUCCAAGCCUCGGCGGGAUGUCUCCUCCUGAUAAGCCUUCCCGGAAGCCCAGCAUUUCAAGUCACCGGUGUCGCCGCAGCCCCCUGUCCCUCUUGGAGGGGCCGCGGACACAUUAAGUUCGCGCGUGAGGGAGGCCAUAAAUCCCUGGGCGAGCGACACAUCCUUGCAACUUGACGCCUAGUGGGACAUUUUCUCCUUGCUACCCCGGGACCUCCCAUUGGGACCGGGGAUCUUCAGAAGCUGUAGGGAGCUGUGCGGCUCCUCCAGCACCUCGAAGAUCGCCGCCCCGAUGGCCAGGUAGAAGAUGAUGGCCGAGCUGAGGUUUUUCCCGUCUGUUCCUGCGGCUCACACACCUACUCACCUACUACCUACAGGCCUCGGAGGAAAGGGAUUCCGACUGAAGAAGAGUAUCAGGAACUAAGUUCCCAGGACCCCUCCACGUCUGGGAGCCACACUCACACUCCAAGGACAGCCUUAUUCCUAAGCCUAUUUAAAAAUGACAACAUUGGGCAGGGCUAGGGAGACAGCGUUUAGAGCUCCUGCUGCUUCUUCAGAGAAACUGAGUUCGGUUCCCAGCACACACACCAGGUGGUUCACAACUUCCUAUGACUCCAGUUCCAGAGAGACCCGACACCUCUGGCUUCCAUGAGCACCUGUACUCACGUGCAAAUAUCCCUCAUGCAUUGCAGACACGUACACAUCGCACAUGAUACAUAUAAUU